rnacentral:rRNA from 1 species
GACGAACGCUGGCGGCGUGCUUAACACAUGCAAGUCGAACGGAAAGGCCCUGCUUUUGUGGGGUGCUCGAGUGGCGAACGGGUGAGUAACACGUGAGUAACCUGCCCUUGACUUUGGGAUAACUUCAGGAAACUGGGGCUAAUACCGGAUAGGAGCCCCCGCUGCAUGGUGGGGGUUGGAAAGUUUCGGCGGUUGGGGAUGGACUCGCGGCUUAUCAGCUUGUUGGUGGGGUAGUGGCUUACCAAGGCUUUGACGGGUAGCCGGCCUGAGAGGGUGACCGGCCACAUUGGGACUGAGAUACGGCCCAGACUCCUACGGGAGGCAGCAGUGGGGAAUAUUGCACAAUGGGCGGAAGCCUGAUGCAGCAACGCCGCGUGCGGGAUGACGGCCUUCGGGUUGUAAACCGCUUUCGCCUGUGACGAAGCGUGAGUGACGGUAAUGGGUAAAGAAGCACCGGCUAACUACGUG